rnacentral:rRNA from 1 species
UAUUCUUUAUAGCUUGCUAUGGGGACAAUUAGUGGCAGACGGGUGAGUAAUGCAUAGGAAUCUACCUAGUAGUAUAGGAUAGCCACUAGAAGUGGUGGGUAAUACUGUAUAAUCCCUGCGGGGGAAAGAUUUAUCGCUACAUGAUGAGCCUAUGUUAGAUUAGCUAGUUGGUGGGGUAAUGGCCUACCAAGGCAGUGAUCUAUAGCUGGUCUGAGAGGAUGAUCAGCCACACUGGAACUGAGACACGGUCCAGACUCCUACGGGAGGCAGCAGUGGGGAAUAUUGGACAAUGGGCGCAAGCCUGAUCCAGCUAUGCCGCGUGAGUGAGGAAGGCCUUAGGGUUGUAAAACUCUUUCAGUAGGGAAGAUAAUG